GUUUUCGAGGGGGAAAUGCAAGCACAUUCUCCAGCAUGGAGUCCCUAGAGGCAGUGCAUUUUAAACCCUAAAUGUGAAUUAUUAUGUGAGUGUCCGAGUAGAGUUCCAGUUCCGUUUGGAGAAACUGUAUGAGGCGUGUUCCGUGUGGGUGUGUGUGCGUACGGAUACGUGGAAGCAGGAUCUCGGUGUCGCGGGUGUCCCUAGGCUGGGAUCUCCCCCUCUCAUCAGAUAAGGAGAAUCCUCUAGCUCCCCAAAACUGGCCCCCAUAACCAAUCCCGUCUCAGUUCGUAAGGGGUUAACCAAAGCCGAUUCCAAGGAAACACAGGUCCCCCCCACCCCCCGCCACCCUCCACUUACCCCACCCACAGUUCUGCCUCGGACCCCGGCCAAUCCCCCAGAUCUCCCCCGGGACCCCCCACCCCGCAGCCCACCCACCCGAGCGCACAGCUCCUCACCUGAGGGGCCCAGUCGCGUCGGGCCUCCCGAGGGGGCUGCGAGUGUCAGUCGGCUCUCCGCACGUGUCCGCGGCCUCGCGGAGCAGCACUGCAAGCUAUUUGGCAUAUGAAGGUCUUGACCUGAGAAAACCAUCUUGGAUAACUGCAGCAAGGAAAAGGAAAAAUGCAACACCUAGGAGAUUUCAGUAAACAGUAGAAUCAUGCCAACCUAAUCUGUGUUAAAAUGCUUGGAAUGUGGGAGCCGCUGAUGAUGCCUCUUGUCUGUGUGUCUGACUGAAUCCUUUCUUUUCUCAGAGCAGCAAAGCAAAGCCUGGGAACCAGGCCAAAUGCCUGCCACUUACCUUAAAUUGAUCAGCCACUUUGAGAUUAAAACCCCUGAAAGCUGCCACACCGUGAAAACAAGGCCUCCUUCACAUUAAAGGCAAAUUGCGACUUUGGGUUUGCUGUGAUCUUUUUUCCAUUUUAUCCAGUUUUUCACAGUGCACUUUUUUCCCCCUUUCCAUUUAUGCUCCAAUAUAGAAGCCAAUAGUUACAGCAUCUUGGCCAAGCAUUCAUUAAGGUUUAUAAGAACAAAAUUUAUGGUUAUUUAGGAGUUGGCACAAAGGCAGACUGUUGCUGGAAAAAGAAAAAGAAAUACAGGUGGGAAAUAGAAGCCUCCACAAAGGCCCACACUAUACAGUAGUGUACUAGACUCUAGUAGUGGGCUGGGAGGAAAAUGAAAUAGUAUUUGAAACCAGCUACUCUUCUAUUCUGAAUCAUUCUCAUUUAUGGCUCUGCAGAUUAUUGAAACAAGUAUACUGGUUAUUCCAGGAGAUUUUUCUGUCUUGGGUAAAUGCUACCAUUUACAGGAGCUGACAGUAGAGAUAAAUAGAUGUGUGCCAAUCUGAGUGAUCUGGCAGUUUGGCUAAAGGAUAAAGUGCAUUUAAAAAAGAAAUAUAUAUA
rnacentral:lncRNA from 10 species